GUGUGUGUGUGUGUGAGUGAGUUUCCAUUUUUGACCGAUGUAACUGCCACGCGUAAUGUUAAGCUGUACCGAUAUUUCAUCACCUAUUGCAGCCUCACUAUGGGUUGCAAUACAAAUCGCUCAGUCUAUCGUCAUCAAACAAAUAUAUCGGUACGAAAAACAUUAGCUGUUCAAUCAAUAUCUUUCGAGACUCAACUAAAGGUAUUAUUGCCAGGACACUAUAAAGCGUAUAAGACCACGAUAGUCCGACUUCCGUAGUGUGGAAGUAAUAAUUGAAAACGUGCUAUAUUUUCACCGAAGGGAAUAAAAUAUCAACUGAGUGAAAAAUAAAAUUCCGGAUCCGUAAUAGCCCCCUCGGAUAUCAUUAAUAGAAUUUACAGUUGCCGUUGACAUUUUAUAUCACCACAGAAAGAGAACUGAAGACAUUGUCAUUUUAAUUCGUAAAUAACUGUUCGAUAAAAUAUAUGACUGUAGGUUGUAGUUUAAAAUCAACCAAAACAGCACGGGUGUGACGAAAUUAUGGCAUGAUAUCACUGAAGAAAAAAAAUAUUAAAUGCAAAUGCAAAUCAAUCAAACCAGACAGCUCCGUAUGUGUUUUAUACAAAUGUAUCAUAUUAUAUCGUAUUUAAUGUAUCAUAUUAUU